rnacentral:rRNA from 1 species
UCGAUUUCGGUUUACACCGUUUUCUACCUUUGUCUAUGCGUACCACACGUUUCCUCGGGGGGCUUGCCCCCCGUUAGGACAUUUAAUCAACCUUUUUGUAAUAGCAGUCAGCGUCUGAAAUAAUUUAAUUAUUAAAACUUUCAACAACGGAUCUCUUGGUUCUGGCAUCGAUGAAGAACGCAGCGAAAUGCGAUAAGUAGUGUGAAUUGCAGAAUUCAGUGAAUCAUCGAAUCUUUGAACGCACAUUGCGCCCCUUGGUAUUCCAUGGGGCAUGCCUGUUCGAGCGUCAUUUGAACUCUCAAGCUUUGCUUGGUGUUGGGUGUUUGUCCUGCCAUUGCGUGUGGACUCGCCUUAAAGUAAUUGGCAGCCUGGUAAUUCGGCUUUGAGCGCAGCACAUUGCGUACUCUCGGCUGGUGCUUUGGCAUCCAAAAGGACCUUUUUUUACUCUUCGACCUCGGAUCAAGGUAGGGAUACCCCGCUGAACCUUAAGCAUAUC